AAUUGACACAACUACUAACUUAAUGCUACAGAUUCCAUUAUCGAAAAUUUUCAUGCUGGAUUAAUAUGUUAAAGAAAUUAUUAUUCCCAAAUGGGAUUUUAAUGUUUAAUAUAAACCUUUUCGAUAAACACCCAAGAUUUCAAUAAAUUAUGAACCAUAAAUACCAGGUCUACAGCACUACUAAUAUCACUUGCCGAUAGUAAUAUAAGUAAAAAGCCCACUAAUGCAUUUGACCUUACAAGUUUCAUUCAAACGCUAAAACGCUAAAGCAAAUAUUAAAAAAUGGUUUCAUCUAAUUCCUUCCUCGAUUAGCAUGUACUAAACGGUUAUCGUUCAUUAG
rnacentral:misc_RNA from 1 species